UGAAUACGAGACGCUACGGCGUCGAAGCAGUCUAUGUCAUACUUCCAAGAAAAGCUUGCACUGUCAUAAACAAAUAAUGCCUGUACCAUAACCGACACAGGUGGGUAGGUAGAGUAUACUAAGGGGCGCGAGAUAACUCUCUCUAAGGAACUCGGCAAAAUGACUCCGUAACUUCGGGAGAAGGAGUGCCUUAUUUAUAAGGUUGCAAUAACAAGAUCCAAGCAACUGUUUACCAAAAACACAGGUCUCCGCUAAGUCGUAAGACGAUGUAUGGGGGCUGACGCCUGCCCAGUGCCAGAAGGUUAAAGAAGUCGGUUAGCAUUAGCGAAGCUGGUAACUGAAGCCCUGGUGAACGGCGGCCGUAACAAUAACGGUCCUAAGGUAGCGAAAUUCCUUGUCGGGUAAGUUCCGACCCGCACGAAAGGCGUAAUGAUUUGGAUACUGUCUCGGAGAGGGACUCGGUGAAAUAGACUUGUCUGUGAAGAUGCGGACUACCUGCACCAGGACAGAAAGACCCUAUGAAGCUUUACUGUAACUUGAAAUUGAAAUUGGACUUUAUUUGCGCAGUAUAGGUGGGAGGUGUUGAGAGUAUUCUUGCGGGAAUAUUGGAGCCAUCAGUGAGAUACCACUCUUGUAAUGUUAGAUUUCUAACUUUGUAUCAUUAUCUGGUCAAAGGACAGUUUCAGGCGGGCAGUUUGACUGGGGCGGUCGCCUCCUAAACGGUAACGGAGGCGCACAAAGGUUUCCUCUGAACGGGUAGAAAUCGUAUCUAGAGUGUAAAGGCAUAAGGAAGCUUGACUGUGAGACCUACAAGUCGAGCAGUGACGAAAGUCGGUCUUAGUGAUCUGACGGUGCUGAGUGGAAAGGCCGUCACUCAACGGAUAAAAGUUACUCUAGGAUAACAGGCUGAUCUCCCCCAAGAGUUCACAUCGACGGGGAGGUUUGGCACCUCGAUGUCGGCUCAUCGCAUCCUGGGGCGGUAGUACGUCCCAAGGGUUGGGCUGUUCGCCCAUGAAAGCGGUACGCGAGCUGGGUUCAGAACGUCGUGAGACAGUUCGGUCCAUAUCCGGUGUAGGCGUUAGAAUAUUGAGAGGAGCCUUCUUUAGUACGAGAGGACCGAGAAGGACAUACCUCUGGUGUACCAGUUAUCGUGCCAACGGUAAACGCUGGGUAGCUAUGUAUGGAGAGGAUAACCGCUGAAAGCAUCUAAGUGGGAAGCCCACCUCAAGAUAAGUAUUCUCAU
rnacentral:rRNA from 1 species